AUUUUCCGCAUGGAAGAAAGUUGAAAGGCGCUUUUGCGUCACUGAUGGAUGGACCCGCGGUGCAUUAGCUAGUUGGUGAGGUAACGGCUCACCAAGGCAACGAUGCAUAGCCGACCUGAGAGGGUGAUCGGCCACACUGGGACUGAGACACGGCCCAGACUCCUACGGGAGGCAGCAGUAGGGAAUCUUCGGCAAUGGACGAAAGUCUGACCGAGCAACGCCGCGUGAGUGAAGAAGGUUUUCGGAUCGUAAAACUCUGUUGUUAGAGAAGAACAAGGAUGAGAGUAAAAUGUUCAUCCCUUGACGGUAUCUAACCAGAAAGCCACGGCUAACUACGUGCCAGCAGCCGCGGUAAUACGUAGGUGGCAAGCGUUGUCCGGAUUUAUUGGGCGUAAAGCGAGCGCAGGCGGUUUCUUAAGUCUGAUGUGAAAGCCCCCGGCUCAACCGGGGAGGGUCAUUGGAAACUGGGAGACUUGAGUGCAGAAGAGGAGAGUGGAAUUCCAUGUGUAGCGGUGAAAUGCGUAGAUAUAUGGAGGAACACCAGUGGCGAAGGCGGCUCUCUGGUCUGUAACUGACGCUGAGGCUCGAAAGCGUGGGGAGCGAACAGGAUUAGAUACCCUGGUAGUCCACGCCGUAAACGAUGAGUGCUAAGUGUUGGAGGGUUUCCGCCCUUCAGUGCUGCAGCAAACGCAUUAAGCACUCCGCCUGGGGAGUACGACCGCAAGGUUGAAACUCAAAGGAAUUGACGGGGGCCCGCACAAGCGGUGGAGCAUGUGGUUUAAUUCGAAGCAACGCGAAGAACCUUACCAGGUCUUGACAUCCUUUGACCACUCUAGAGAUAGAGCUUCCCCUUCGGGGGCAAAGUGACAGGUGGUGCAUGGUUGUCGUCAGCUCGUGUCGUGAGAUGUUGGGUUAAGUCCCGCAACGAGCGCAACCCUUAUUGUUAGUUGCCAUCAUUUAGUUGGGCACUCUAGCGAGACUGCCGGUGACAAACCGGAGGAAGGUGGGGAUGACGUCAAAUCAUCAUGCCCCUUAUGACCUGGGCUACACACGUGCUCCAAUGGGAAGUACAACGAGUUGCGAAGUCGCGAGGCUAAGCUAAUUUCUUAAAGCUUCUCUCAGUUCGGAUUGUAGGCUGCAACUCGCCUACAUGAAGCCGGAAUCGCUAGUAAUCGCGGAUCAGCACGCCGCGGUGAAUACGUUCCCGGGCCUUGUACACACCGCCCGUCACACCACGAGAGUU
rnacentral:rRNA from 1 species